GACUGGUCCGAGAGUAGUGGAUAAUUUCAAUUUCAAUUGAUUGUUCACCGUCAGUUACAGAUUGAUCUCUUUGUUCUCUUUCUCCCUUUCCCACUACUGCCCUUGACUAGUCUUUU
ensembl:Y_RNA Y_RNA Y RNA